AUACGUAGGGUGCGAGCGUUGUCCGGAAUUACUGGGCGUAAAGAGCUCGUAGGUGGUUUGUCGCGUCGUCUGUGAAAUUCCGGGGCUUAACUCCGGGCGUGCAGGCGAUACGGGCAUAACUUGAGUACUGUAGGGGAGACUGGAAUUCCUGGUGUAGCGGUGAAAUGCGCAGAUAUCAGGCGGAACACCGGUGGCGAAGGCGGGUCUCUGGGCAGUAACUGACGCUGAGGAGCGAAAGCAUGGGUAGCGAACAGGAUUAGAUACCCUGGUAGUCCAUGCCGUAAACGGUGGGCGCUAGGUGUAGGGGUCUUCCACGACUUCUGUGCCGUAGCUAACGCAUUAAGCGCCCCGCCUGGGGAGUACGGCCGCAAGGCUAAAACUCAAAUGAAUUGACGGGG
rnacentral:rRNA from 1 species